rnacentral:rRNA from 1 species
CCUACGGGUGGCAGCAGUGAGGAAUAUUGGUCAAUGGGCGGAAGCCUGAACCAGCCAAGUAGCGUGCAGGAUGACGGCCCUACGGGUUGUAAACUGCUUUUAUACGGGAAUAACGCGCCUUACGUGUAGGGCUUUGCAUGUACCGUAUGAAUAAGGACCGGCUAAUUCCGGGCCAGCAGCCACGGUAAUACGGAAGGUCCGGGCGUUAAUCGGAUUUUUUGGGUUUAAAGGGAGCGUAGGCCGCAUGUCAAGCGUGCUGUGAAAUGUCCGGGCUCAACCCGGGCUUUGCCGUGCGAACUGGCGUGCUUGAGUCCGCGGAAAGCAGGCGGAAUUCGUCGUGUAGCGGUGAAAUGCUUAGAUAUGACGAAGAACCCCGAUUGCGAAGGCAGCAUGCUGCAGCGGAACUGACGCUGAUGCUCGAAAGCGCGGGUAUCGAACAGGAUUAGAUACCCGAGUAGUC